rnacentral:rRNA from 1 species
GGCGAACGCUGGCGGCGUGCUUAACACAUGCAAGUCGAACGGAAAGGCCCUGCUUUUGUGGGGUGCUCGAGUGGCGAACGGGUGAGUAACACGUGAGUAACCUGCCCUUGACUUUGGGAUAACUUCAGGAAACUGGGGCUAAUACCGGAUAGGAGCUCCUGCUGCAUGGUGGGGGUUGGAAAGUUUCGGCGGUUGGGGAUGGACUCGCGGCUUAUCAGCUUGUUGGUGGGGUAGUGGCUUACCAAGGCUUUGACGGGUAGCCGGCCUGAGAGGGUGACCGGCCACAUUGGGACUGAGAUACGGCCCAGACUCCUACGGGAGGCAGCAGUGGGGAAUAUUGCACAAUGGGCGGAAGCCUGAUGCAGCAACGCCGCGUGCGGGAUGACGGCCUUCGGGUUGAAAACCGCUUUCGCCUGUGACGAAGCGUGAGUGACGGUAAUGGGUAAAGAAGCACCGGCUAACUACGUG